CCCUUAGAUGUUCUGGGCUGCACGCGUACUACAAUGGAACUCGCAUCGAGUCGCGAAACUGAGAAGUUAAGCGAAUCUUGGAAUGUGUUCCGUGACCGGGACAGUUGAUUGCAAUUAUUCAACUCGAACGAGGAAUUCCUUGUAAUCGUGAUUCAUCAUAUCGCGAUGAAUACGUCCCUGCCCUUUGUACACACCGCCCGUCGCUCCUACCGAUUGGGUGAUCCGGUGAAUAAUUCGGACUGCGGCAUUGACCGGUUCCCGAUCGUUGCUGCGGAAAGUUUAGUGAACCUUAUCACUUAGAGGAAGGAGAAGUCGUAACA
rnacentral:rRNA from 1 species